AACUUUCAACAACGGAUCUCUUGGUUCUCGCAUCGAUGAAGAACGCAGCGAAAUGCGAUAAGUAGUGUGAAUUGCAGAAUUCAGUGAAUCAUCGAAUCUUUGAACGCACAUUGCGCCUCCUGGUAUUCCGGGAGGCAUGCCUGUCCGAGCA
rnacentral:rRNA from 1 species